UACGAAGGGGACUAGCGUUGUUCGGAAUCACUGGGCGUAAAGCGCACGUAGGCGGAUAUGUCAGUCAGGGGUGAAAUCCCGGGGCUCAACCUCGGAACUGCCUUUGAUACAGCAUGUCUUGAGUCCGAUAGAGGUGGGUGGAAUUCCUAGUGUAGAGGUGAAAUUCGUAGAUAUUGGGAAGAACACCGGUGGCGAAGGCGGCGCUCUGGACCGAGACUGACGCUGAGGCGCGAAAGCGUGGGGAGCAAACAGGG
rnacentral:rRNA from 1 species